CGUUCCAGCAAGUGCGUAAGCAACCACAAGAGGAGGUGAGGCAAGAUAAUUAGCUCUUGUUAAAGGAUGUACACGACCCUCAAAAUUUCUAUUCCCAGACAAUACAGCUGCUGCCACUAAGUCAUUUUCAGUAAUAGCUGAUGCCACAGCUUCAUCAAUAUCACCUGAAUUGCCAAUGCAAGUGGUGCAUCCAUAACCAACUAUAUGGAACCCUAGCUGAUUCAAAUACUUCUGCAGGCCACUGUUUUCCAAGUAUUUGGUCACAACCCCAGAACCUGGAGCAAGACUUGUUUUAACCCAUGGUUUUACCUCCAAUCCCAGUUCACAAGCUUUCUUUGCAACCAAAGCAGCUCCAAGCAUUACACUAGGGUUUGAGGUAUUAGUGCAACUAGUAAUAGCAGCUAUAACCACAUCACCAUGCCUAAGUUGUGCUGGAG
rnacentral:misc_RNA from 1 species